GUGCAACCAACUUAGGAUUCAAAACUCAUUACUAGAUGUCGCUAGUGUCGCCCUUGUUGUUCUUAUCGUGAAUCGAGGCAAAAUAGGCGAAGCAAUUGGUUGCUAAUUUCUACUUAUAUUCCUGUGAUUUCAUACACCAAAUUGAACUUCGUAACCCAUAUGCAUACUGUCAGUCAUUCCAACAAGUUGACUUAGCGCUAUUCAGUCACUUUCCAUUCAAUAGACCCAUCAUGCUGUCAAUAGCCUAAAACUAAUGUUUGAAGCUCACAUUUAGUGAAAUACAAAUCUUCCGAGUUAAGGAUCUUUUCUGAAUCUCCAAAUUUUGGUGGUGUACACUGCAACACCAUGUUUGUU